CAUCUAAGGCUCCAUUUGUCAAUAAUGAUAUCAACUAAUCGGUUGGACGCGUCGUACAAGAGCAUAGUCGAUCCGGAUGCCAAAUGAUCUUUGUUACAAUAUGAAUAAUCAAGUCUUAAUUGCUUGCUGGAUGUGACGCAUAUAAAUGUUGAAUACGGUUAAAUUUUGUUUAUAAUGGACAAAACAGUGUGCAAGUAUGGCCAUUUAAAUGUAUUUGUACGUUCAAUUUUAGUUGAUUCAAAAACAUGUUUUACUCAACACA